AGAAGAGUUAAAGAUUUAUCGGUGAUGGAUGGGGAUGCGUCUGAUUAGCUUGUUGGCGGGGGUAAACGGCCCACCAAGGCGACGAUCAGUAGGGGUUCUGAGAGGAAGGUCCCCCACAUUGGAACUGAGACACGGUCCAAACUCCUACGGGAGGCAGCAGUGAGGAAUAUUGGUCAAUGGACGAGAGUCUGAACCAGCCAAGUAGCGUGCAGGAUGACGGCCCUAUGGGUUGUAAACUGCUUUUAUAAGGGAAUAAAGUGAGUCUCGUGAGACUUUUUGCAUGUACCUUAUGAAUAAGGACCGGCUAAUUCCGUG
rnacentral:rRNA from 1 species